rnacentral:rRNA from 1 species
UUAGGAAUUUUCCACAAUGGGGGCAACCCUGAUGGAGCAACGCCGCGUGCAGGAUGAAGGCCUUCGGGUUGUAAACUGCUUUUAUGUGCGAAGAAUAUGACGGUAACACAUGAAUAAGGAUCGGCUAACUCCGUGCCAGCAGCCGCGGUCAUACGGAGGAUCCAAGCGUUAUCCGGAUUUACUGGGCGUAAAGAGUUGCGUAGGUGGUUUGUUAAGUGAAUAGUGAAAUCUGGUGGCUCAACCAUCAACACAUUAUUCAAACUGACAAACUCGAGAAUGAGAGAGGUCACUGGAAUUCCUUGUGUAGGAGUGAAAUCCGUAGAUAUAAGGAGGAACACCAAUGGCGUAGGCAGGUGACUGGCUCAUUUCUGACACUGAGGCACGAAAGCGUGGGGAGCGA